CUGCUGAUAACAGCCAAUGCUACAGUAAGAUCACUUCUGCACCUGGAAAUGUUUUUCCCUCUGCAGAGUCAGCAGAGGUCAGAAGUCAAGAGUCUCAAAAUGAAGAUUAUGACACAUACCAUGUGUACAGCUCCAUCCUUGAGAAGCCAUCUGCAUCAUAAGAAGAUAUUAUAUGGCACUCUGAAGGCACACUGAAACGCAAACCAUGUUUUUCUUGAUAUACAUCAUUUAUGUUAUUAUAAUACAUGCUAGUCAGUUUGUUAAAUUAUUACACAUUUGAAGUGGGAAGGUUUUGAAUGAAAGAAAUACAAUAGGUGAAUAACUUUAUGUCAAAAACAUUAGAAAGACAUGGACACCUGAAUGGUACCUUUUGCAAUUAUUAUUUAUGUAAAGUGCUUUAACAAAAGACCAAAAAACAAACAAACAAAAAACAUAAGGGAUAAUGCCAAAAUGAUAUUGAGAGUAAAGAAAAAAAUAUGUUAAAGUGAUAAAAUAAGAAUAAGGGUAUUUAACUUAAUUCAUAAAAGAGUUUGCUGUCUUAAAGUUGUGGGGUGCCAGUUUCAAUAACUGGGGCCCUAUUGGAAAAAAGGCUUCAUUGCUUUUAGUUUUCACUAGAUAGUGUGGAACUCUCUCCUAUGUACAUAUUUUAGUGGACAGUGUUAAACUCUCCUUUUACACUUUAAACUUUGUAUUUUAUUUACAGUUUGCAUUAACUGGCUUGAUGCUCCGUUUACCACGCUAGUCUCUUGUGUUACAGAAUAUACUGUGUGAGGUUUGCUGCAGCACACAGGGCUUUUUAUAUUCACACUCUAUAAAUAUUUUGUUUAGUCAAAACAUGCAUCUUACUUUGAAUAUUUUCUGCUGUAAAACACUGAAGGAGAAACUGACAGAAUAAAGUAAGUUCAGCAUUUCUUU
rnacentral:lncRNA from 1 species